rnacentral:rRNA from 1 species
AUUGGACGCUGGCGGCAGGCCUAACACAUGCAAGUCGAGCGGUAGAGAGGUGCUUGCACCUCUUGAGAGCGGCGGACGGGUGAGUGAUGCCUAGGAAUCUGCCUGGUAGUGGGGGAUAACGCUCGGAAACGGACGCUAAUACCGCAUACGUCCUACGGGAGAAAGCAGGGGACCUUCGGGCCUUGCGCUAUCAGAUGAGCCUAGGUCGGAUUAGCUAGUUGGUGAGGUAAUGGCUCACCAAGGCGACGAUCCGUAACUGGUCUGAGAGGAUGAUCAGUCACACUGGAACUGAGACACGGGCCAGACUCCUACGGGAGGCAGCAGUGGGGAAUAUUGGACAGUGGGCGAAAGCCUGAUCCAGCCAUGCCGCGUGUGUGAAGAAGGUCUUCGGAUUGUAAAGCACUUUAAGUUGGGAGGAAGGGUCGUUACCUAAUACGUGACGAUUUUGACGUUACCGACAGAAUAAGCACCGGCUAACUCUGUGCCAGCAGCCGCCGUAAGAC